CCUACGGGUGGCAGCAGUGAGGAAUAUUGGUCAAUGGGCGGAAGCCUGAACCAGCCAAGUAGCGUGCGGGAUGACGGCCCUACGGGUCGUAAACCGCUUUUAUACGGGAAUAACGCGCCUUACGUGUGGAGCUUUGCAUGUACCGUAUGAAUAAGGACCGGCUAAUUCCGUGCCAGCAGCCGCGGUAAUACGGAAGGUCCGAGCGUUAUCCGGAUUUAUUGGGUUUAAAGGGAGCGUAGGCGGCCUGUCAAGCGAGCUGUUAAAUUCGCGGGCUCAACCCGGGCCUUGCAGUGGAAACUGGGCGGCUUGAGUACGCGGAAGGCAGGCGGAAUUCGUGGUGUAGCGGUGAAAUGCUUAGAUAUGACGAAGAACCCCGAUUGCGAAGGCAGCCUGCUGCGGCGGGACUGACGCUGAUGCUCGAAAGCGCGGGUAUCGAACAGGAUUAGAUACCCUAGUAGUC
rnacentral:rRNA from 1 species